GAUGAACGCUGGCGGCGUGCCUAAUACAUGCAAGUCGAACGCUUCACUUCGGUGAAGAGUGGCGAACGGGUGAGUAAUACAUAAGUAACCUGGCAUCUACAGGGGGAUAACUGAUGGAAACGUCAGCUAAGACCGCAUAGGUGUAGAGAUCGCAUGAACUCUAUAUGAAAAGUGCUACGGGACUGGUAGAUGAUGGACUUAUGGCGCAUUAGCUGGUUGGUAGGGUAACGGCCUACCAAGGCGACGAUGCGUAGCCGACCUGAGAGGGUGACCGGCCACACUGGGACUGAGACACGGCCCAGACUCCUACGGGAGGCAGCAGUAGGGAAUUUUCGGCAAUGGGGGAAACCCUGACCGAGCAACGCCGCGUGAAGGAAGAAGUAAUUCGUUAUGUAAACUUCUGUCAUAGAGGAAGAACGGUGGAUAUAGGGAAUGAUAUCCAAGUGACGGUACUCUAUAAGAAAGCCACGGCUAACUACGUGCCAGCAGCCGCGGUAAUACGUAGGUGGCGAGCGUUAUCCGGAAUUAUUGGGCGUAAAGAGGGAGCAGGCGGCACUAAGGGUCUGUGGUGAAAGAUCGAAGCUUAACUUCGGUAAGCCAUGGAAACCGUAGAGCUAGAGUGUGUGAGAGGAUCGUGGAAUUCCAUGUGUAGCGGUGAAAUGCGUAGAUAUAUGGAGGAACACCAGUGGCGAAGGCGACGAUCUGGCGCAUAACUGACGCUCAGUCCCGAAAGCGUGGGGAGCAAAUAGGAUUAGAUACCCUAGUAGUCCACGCCGUAA
rnacentral:rRNA from 1 species